rnacentral:misc_RNA from 1 species
AUUAGGUAUUUGCACGCCAUCUGAAGAACAACGAACGCCAGCUAUCGAUCGCAAGUUUAGCCCGUCGAAUCGUUUCGAAUUCGUAUUUGGAAUGAACCACAAUAAAAUCGCCACAAAUAAAGUAAACAGUCCAAACAAGUGCCUAGCGACAAAUAAGCAAACCAACUGCAACGCAUACGGAACAAACAAAAACACAAAUAUUUCCCAUAACUGCAAUAAAUCCACGAAGUCGAAACGAAGUUAGGCGUUUUUUUUACCAGAAAACUUGGACAAAUUUAACAAAAAACGGAUAUUAAUGCAAUCAGUUCGAGACAAGGAGACAGCCAGCGGAAGACUUAAGGAGCUCAAUACUUAUAGAGGCCAUAAUCAAAGAAAUAAAGCACCAUCAACCAGCAGUGAAAAGGAACGUCUUCAAUGAUAAACCUUCGAAAACUUUUAGAAAAUAAAAAACAUCCCAAUAAACCACAACAAAUACAAGACGCGAGAAAGGAUUUGGUAAAUCAUCCAAAACCAGUUCAACAAACAUAACACAGUAAACAUUAAAAAUUAAAUCACAAGUUUUAAAACGCAAAUAAAGAUAAGAACUCUCAACAACAGUUAAAUAAAGAAUAAUAAGAGAACUGCAAGCAAACAAUAAACUACAUUUAAAUGAAAAGCCAUAAAGAAACUUAAAGCCAUUGGAAACAAGCCAUACAAGCGGUCCAGAACCUAAAAAUUAAACACAAACCAACCAGCAACUCCACUCUACGCUCAAAAUUCAAAUUUCCCGCCAAGCGACCACACUGCGCAACACACGAGCGCUGCAUCCCUGGACUUCCGCCGCAUUCCAACACUGCAGGACUGUCAGCUGUCAGUUUUCCUGUGUGUGUGCGCGCGUGAGUGUGUGCGUGCACUUAAGAAACUUAAAUUCGCGUUCUUGGCCAAAAAACCCGGGUUGUUAAUAAGUUAUAGCGUUUUCCUCGACUGAGAACUUGGCCCCCAGGCAGACGGGCACAAAAACCGCCCUAGAAACGCGCCCGCCGCCGUCGAAAAGGCCGAAAACGCCAGCGAAACGCGCGCGUUGAGUGUUUUCUGUGUGGUUUUAUUUUUGGAAUAUAAAGCGAUCUGAUCUGAAAAGUGUGCCGCGGCCGGAUUCUAGAUAUUCAGAUUCCCAGCACCCGAAACCCAAACGCAAUAAUAGACGCGCGCGGUGCCUUGGAUCUCUACGGCUCCACGGUGGAGAACUUUUACCUCAGAAUGGAUCCGACGCGAGGUGACUCGCGGUACAAUCUCAACUACUCGAUGAGUAGCAUCGGGCUGAGCCUGGCGGAUCCGGCGGACAUGUACGGCAACCCGGCCCUGGGGGCGGGCCGCCCGCCCUCCGGCGGCCUGCUCCAGAACAUGGGCGGCGUUCCGCCGAUGCAGCGCCCCAAUCCCGCGGCAGGAGCACCCCCUGCCCCCCAAUGCCAAACGCUCCACAGCCCACAGCACGCCUCCCAGCAGCAGCAGCAGCAGCAACAACAGCAGCAGCAGCAACACCAGCAGCAGCAGCAACAGCAGCAGCAUCCCCAGCAGCAACGCGGCCUCAAGCGCUCCGGCAGCGACUGCUACGAGGAUCACCACCGCUCGUCCGGCGGACUUACCCUCCAAGGACUGGACAACGUGGCCAGCGGAGCCGUCGACGACAGCGUAGACAACUACAACCCGCUGCCCAACAAGAAGUCUCCGCCCGCCAACGGCAAAAAGACAAAGGGACGUGUCAAAAUCAAAAUGGAAUACAUCGACAACAAGCUGCGUCGCUACACGACCUUCUCCAAGCGCAAGACGGGCAUCAUGAAGAAGGCCUACGAGCUGUCCACGCUGACCGGGACGCAGGUGAUGCUGCUGGUGGCCAGCGAGACGGGCCACGUGUACACAUUUGCCACGCGCAAGCUGCAGCCGAUGAUCACCUCGGAGGCGGGCAAGCAGCUCAUCCAGACCUGCCUCAACUCGCCGGAUCCGCCCAGUGUGGGCGGCGGCGACCAACGGAUGUCGGCCACCGGGUUCGAGGAGACGGAGCUCAGCUACAACAUCGCCGACGAGGACUCGAAACCUCCACAGCCGGCAGCCUCCAGUCCCAGAAGCUGCGGAGCUCUUUAGCUCUGGAUCUCAGAGGCCUCCACACACAUGAUGGGGAUCCUCUCGUGGAGUGAAGUGGAGUGGAUCGUCGGCGCGUAGUGUGUGUGCUCCUCCUGGAGCGCACUGAAGAAUGCAUUUGAUCAGAUAAUGCAUCCUUCGAUUUGCGAGGCGGAGGAGUACGACUGCCGGACUGGGCUCCAGCCUCAUCUUCUCCAGAGGAGCCCCACGACCAUUCCGAUCCAGCAUUGCGGGCGUUGCAUUAUUACGCACAAGUAAAUCAUCGAAAGACGUCGCUGUUGUCCACCGUCGAAAGCCAACGGCUUGUU